GAUGAAGAACGCAGCGAAAUGCGAUAAGUAAUGUGAAUUGCAGAAUUCAGUGAAUCAUCGAAUCUUUGAACGCAUCUUGCGCUCCUUGGUAUUCUGAGGAGCAUGCCUGUUUGAGUGUCAUUAAAUUCUCAACCGCACUGACUUUGAAUUGGUGUGGCUUGGAUUUGGGGGGAAAAUUGUUGUGGGCUUUUUUGUAUAGUCUGCUCCCCUGAAAUUGAUUAGCGGUACCUUUGUGGAACUGUCUACAGGUGUGAUAAUUAUCUACAUCCUAGACAUCUGCUGGAAUGCUGCUUUCUAAACCUUACUUGUAUUGACAAUCUUGACCUCAAAUCAGGUAGGACUACCCGCUGAACUUAAGCAUAUCAAUAAGGGAGGA
rnacentral:misc_RNA from 1 species